rnacentral:rRNA from 1 species
CUACCUUCGAAUUGGGGAUAACGUUGCGAAAGUGACGCUAAUACCGAAUGAUAUCAUAGGGACUUUGGUCUUUGAUCAAAGAUGGCCUCUCCUUGGGAAGCUAUGUUUGGAGAUGAGCCCGCGUCCCAUUAGCUUGUUGGUGGGGUAAUGGCCUACCAAGGCAGCGAUGGGUAGCUGGUCUGAGAGGAUGAUCAGCCACACUGGAACUGACACACGGUCCAG